UUUAACUACCAAAAAUAGCCCUAGUACAACACUCUAAUACUAAAUCCUAAACUAGGUUUCUCUUUUUACAUGAAUUUGUGCCCUCUUUUCAGAUUUUGGGUUUUCAUCAAAAUCUUUAAUUUCGCAAUACCAAUCCUAAACUAGUACUCGCUGCGUUAUUCCUGAGCACCAAACAAUACAAAGAUUUUUCUACGUCUGAUGAGGGUUGAAUAUAGUGAGUAAGGUAUACUUAUUAAAAUUUUAUUUGUUUCACAAUUCAUUAUAUCCUUUUUGGUUAUUUUAUAUUAUGAUAAAUUAGUAAUUCAAUAAGUAAUUUGGUAGUAGAAUGUACUCAGUUAAUUUUAGGGUUCGUUUAGCAGCACUCUAAAAUAUUCAUAAAUUUUUAAAAAUCAAUUGAAAAAAUAGGACAAAAAACCCACACCACCCAUGUUCUUCACCGUCCAAUGUAAAAAGAAAGAAACAAGUAUUCAUCUUCAUCGCCAAUGCCACACCACCCAUUUUCUCCUAAGAUCUGAACCCUCUUCUUCUUCUUUGUCAGUUGCAACCUUUUGAUUGAGACCUAAUUUUCCAUAGACUCAUCUUAUUUCCCUCAUUUUCAAGCAAUGGAGAAGCAAAAACUGAACCCAGAAAUCAGAGAAUUUCGGGGAAGGGAACCAGAAACUUGCGACAUAGAUAUUGAACGAAAAGCUCUUCAUCUGUGGCAUAAAAUCAAAACUUGAAAAAUUUCAGAACUUGGAAGUUGGAUGCAGAAAAUUUCAGAGAGAGAGAGGUUAAACUCUUCAUCCUCCCUUGCGAACUCAAACUCCAGAUCCCAUUGUCCCCAGCGCGCCUAUACCUGACCCAAUAACUCAAAACGACUUUGGCGAGAUCUGAUGAGUGAGAUGGUGCCUAGAUCUGGGAGGUAGCUGUGCGAGAGAGAGAGAGAGAGAGAGAGAGAGAGAGAGAGAUGCGGUUUGGGGCUGGGUUCGUGGACUUGGGUGGAGAUUAAGGGUUGCGGAGAAGAAAUUCGGAGGUGGGGGGUGGGAGGAGGAGGGGGGAGGGAUGGGUCUGAGUUUGUGAUGGGGGAGAAAAAAUUGUAAGAAAUCAUCUGGGAGGUGCAAACGUUCUGAAAAUUCGUUGAAAGAGAGAUGCGGUGAAGAGGGUGGUGGCUGGUCAGGAUGGGAAGGGAGAAGAAAGGGGGGAGGAGGGUGUGGUGGUCAUAGGCAAAAGGGGGAGAAGAAAUGUUGGGGUGGGAGGCUCUGGUUUGGUUAGUUCCUAAGAUCUUUUUUUUUUUUUUCUCUUUUCUUCAUUUUACCAAUUUAUUUAUUUAUUUUUAUAUUCAUACAUUAAUCAAUUUAAAAUUAAAAAAGAAAAAUGUGGGACCAUAAAUAUCACGUAGGCAACUAACAGAGUGAUUUGACAGAAGCCUUAACGGUGGAACUGCAUUGUAACAAAUUUAAAAGAUCGGAA
rnacentral:lncRNA from 1 species